rnacentral:rRNA from 1 species
AUUGAACGCUGGCGGCAGGCCUAACACAUGCGAGUCGAGCGGAUGAAGGGAGCUUGCUCCUGGAUUCAGCGGCGGACGGGUGAGUAAUGCCUAGGAAUCUGUCUGGUAGUGGGGGAUAACGUCCGGAAACGGGCGCUAAUACCGCAUACGUCCUGAGGGAGAAAGUGGGGGAUCUUCGGACCUCACGCUAUCAGAUGAGCCUAGGUCGGAUUAGCUAGUUGGUGGGGUAAAGGCCUACCAAGGCGACGAUCCGUAACUGGUCUGAGAGGAUGAUCAGUCACACUGGAACUGAGACACGGUCCAGACUCCUACGGGAGGCAGCAGUGGGGAAUAUUGGACAAUGGGCGAAAGCCUGAUCCAGCCAUGCCGCGUGUGUGAAGAAGGUCUUCGGAUUGUAAAGCACUUUAAGUUGGGAGGAAGGGCAGUAAGUUAAUACCUUGCUGUUUUGACGUUACCAACAGAAUAAGCACCGGCUAACUUCGUG